rnacentral:rRNA from 1 species
CGUUUAUUUGAUAGUGCCUUACUACUUGGAUAACCGUGGUAAUUCUAGAGCUAAUACAUGCUAAAAACCCCGACUUCGGAAGGGGUGUAUUUAUUAGAUACAAAACCAAUGCCCUUCGGGGCUCCUUGGUGAUUCAUGAUAACUAUACGAAUCGCACGGCCUUGCGCCGGCGAUGGUUCAUUCAAAUUUCUUCCCUAUCAACUUUCGAUGUUUGGGUAUUGGCCAAACAUGGUUGCAACGGGUAACGGAGGGUUAGGGCUCGACCCCGGAGAAGGAGCCUGAGAAACGGCUACUACAUCCAAGGAAGGCAGCAGGCGCGCAAAUUACCCAAUCCCGACUCGGGGAGGUAGUGACAAUAAAUACUGAUACAGGGCCCUUUCGGGCCUUGUAAUUGGAAUGAGUACAAUUUAAAUCCCUUAACGAGGAACAAUUGGAGGGCAAGUCUGGUGCCAGCAGCCGCGGUAAUUCCAGCUCCAAUAGCGUAUAUUAAAGUUGUUGUGGUUAAAAAGCUCGUAGUUGAACCUUGGGCCUGGCUGGCCGGUCCGCCUCACCGCGUGCACUGGUCCGGCCGGGCCUUUCCCUCUGUGGAACCCCAUACCCUUCACUGGGCGUGGCGGGGAAACAGGACAUUUACUUUGAAAAAAUUAGAGUGCUCCAGGCAGGCCUAUGCUCGAAUACAUUAGCAUGGAAUAAUAAAAUAGGACGCGCGGUUCUAUUUUGUUGGUUUAUAGGACCGCCGUAAUGAUUAAUAGGGACAGUCGGGGGCAUCAGUAUUCAACUGUCAGAGGUGAAAUUCUUGGAUCAGUUGAAGACUAACUACUGCGAAAGCAUUUGCCAAGGAUGUUUUCAUUAAUCAGGAACGAAAGUUAGGGGAUCGAAGACGAUCAGAUACCGUCGUAGUCUUAACCAUAAACUAUGCCGACUAGGGAUCGGACGGUGUUAUUCAUGACCCGUUCGGCACCUUACGAGAAAUCAAAGUGCUUGGGCUCCAGGGGGAGUAUGGUCGCAAGGCUGAAACUUAAAGAAAUUGACGGAAGGGCACCACCAGGGGUGGAGCCUGCGGCUUAAUUUGACUCAACACGGGGAAACUCACCAGGUCCAGACACAAUAAGGAUUGACAGAUUGAGAGCUCUUUCUUGAUUUUGUGGGUGGUGGUGCAUGGCCGU